GAUGAACGCUGGCGGCGUGCCUAAUACAUGCAAGUCGAGCGAACGGACGAGAAGCUAGCUUUUCUGAUGUUAGCGGCGGACGGGUGAGUAACACGUGGAUAACCUACCUAUAAGACUGGGAUAACUUCGGGAAACCGGAGCUAAUACCGGAUAAUAUUUUGAACCGCAUGGUUCAAAAGUGAAAGACGGUCUUGCUGUCACUUAUAGAUGGAUCCGCGCUGCAUCAGCUAGUUGGUAAGGUAACGGCUUACCAAGGCAACGAUGCAUAGCCGACCUGAGAGGGUGAUCGGCCACACUGGAACUGAGACACGGUCCAGAAUCCUACGGGAGGCAGCAGUAGGGAAUCUUCCGCAAUGGGCGAAAGCCUGACGGAGCAACGCCGCGUGAGUGAUGAAGGUCUUCGGAUCGUAAAACUCUGUUAUUAGGGAAGAACAUAUGUGUAAGUAACUGUGCACAUCUUGACGGUACCUAAUCAGAAAGCCACGGCUAACUACGUG
rnacentral:rRNA from 1 species